rnacentral:rRNA from 1 species
UGGGGAAUAUUGGACAAUGGGCGCAAGCCUGAUCCAGCCACGCCGCGUGUGUGAUGAAGGCCCUAGGGUUGUAAAGCUUUUUCACCGGUGAAGAUAAUGACGGUAACCGGAGAAGAAGCUCCGGCUAACUACGUGCCAGCAGCCGCGGUAAUACGAAGGGGGCGAGCGUUGUUCGGAUUUACUGGGCGUAAAGCGCACGUAGGCGGACUUUUAAGUUAGGGGUGAAAUCUCGGGGCUCAACCCCGGAACUGCCUUUGAUACUGGAAGUCUUGAGUAUGGUGGAGGUGUGUGGAAUUCCGAAUGUAGAGGUGGAAUUCGUGGAUAAUCGGUGGAACACCAGUGGCGAAGGCGGCUCCCUGGACCAUUACUGUCGCUGGGGUGCGAAAGCGUGGGGAGCAAACAGG